GUCCAAGGAUGGGAAUCGAACCCACAGUGUUCCGCUUACCGGGCAGAUGCCAUGUCCACUAGGCUACCCUGGA